CUCCCUCACCCCCACCACCAUAUUAUUACAAGUCUCCUCCACCACCUUCUCCUUCUCCUCCCCCUCCAUACUACUAUAAAUCUCCUCCACCACCCUCUCCGUCACCUCCACCUCCUUACUACUAUAAGUCUCCUCCACCUCCCUCACAUUCCCCUCCUCCACCAUACUAUUACAAGUCUCCUCCACCACCCUCUCCCUCACCCCCACCUCCAUAUUACUACAAAUCUCCUCCACCACCCUCUCCCUCACCCCCACCUCCAUAUUAUUACAAGUCUCCCCCACCACCCUCACCAUCCCCUCCCCCACCAUACUAUUAUAAGUCUCCUCCACCCCCACAUAUACACAAGGACCCACCAUACUAUUACAAGUCCCCACCACCACCUUCACCAUCUCCUCCACCACCUUACUACUAUAAAUCUCCCCCACCACCCUCACCAUCUCCUCCACCACCAUACUACUACAAAUCUCCCCCACCACCUUCACCAUCUCCUCCACCACCAUACUACUACAAAUCUCCUCCUCCUCCAUCCCCUAUCCCCCGUACACCUUACUACUACAAGUCCCCGCCACCACCUUCACCAUCUCCUCCACCACCAUACUAUUACAAAUCUCCUCCCCCGCCAUCUCCUAUUCCCCAGACACCUUACUACUACAAGUCCCCACCACCACCUAAGUAUCUUCCACCACCAUACUAUUAUAACUCUCCUCCUCCACAUGUUGUGUAUCCUCAACCACACCCUUACCACCACUCAUUGAUUGUGAAGGUAGUGGGUAAAGUCUACAGCUUUAGGUGCUAUGAUUGGGAGUAUCCUGAAAAGUCUCAUGACAAGAAACACCUCAAAGGUACAUCACUUACUAAGGAUUGAACUUCUAUACACUAAUGAGUUUAGAGCAUGCAUGAGACUUAAUCGUUUAUCUGUUAAAAUCUUAAUUGCUUUAAAAUUAUUCAUUAAUAUUUUGAUAAAAAAUACAACUCUCUGUUUAUUUUGAUAUAUAGAUAGAUAGAUAAUUCAAAUAUAAAAUUCAAAUUAACUUUUAUCCACACGACAAUGGGCCAAUUUGAUUAAGAUUUUCCUAAAAAAUGAUUUUAUAGUAUUUUAUCUUUUUAUAAUAUUUUUAAAAAUAAAACUUCAAAUAAAAAAUUAGUUUAAAUAGUUUAUUUUAAAAUAUCGUUUUAAGUAUUUCAUCUAUUUAAUUAUUUUUGUGGACAAUGAAAUUUCAAAAAAAUGAUUAAAAUAAAAUCUAUUUUAAGAAUCUUUUUGUAAAAAUUAUUUUUGAAAGAUAUCUUUUUUUUUUAAAUUAUUUUUUAUCAUAUUAAAAUCUCUAAUAAUAAAUGUUUAAGUUAUUGAAUGUCAAAAUUAUUUUUUUAGUUGGUAAUAAAUAAAUGUAAAACAAACUUUAAUAUUUUUAAGUAAAUUCUCAUAAAAAUUUAAAUAUAUAAAAUCAAUUACUUUUUAAAAAUUUUAAAUAAUCGAAUUCAAUAUAAAUUGCUUAGAACCGGCUACAACCUGCCAAGAAUAAAGAAAACAAUCAAUAUGUCAAAUUAAUAUGUACAAUCUACCUCGUUGGAAUUUAAUAAUUGCCCCUAAUUUAAUAUUCUACUUGAAAUUGAUUGUUUAACAUGCUGCUUUUAAUAAUAAAGACCUAUAUAGUAUGUGUUUCUAUAUUUUACUCGAUCCUAAAGUAAUUUUGUUAUGGGGCAGGUGCUGUUGUUGAGGUGACAUGCAAAGCAGGAAGCAAAAUCAUCAAGGCUUAUGGUAAAACUAAGAUCAACGGAAAGUAUAGCAUCACAGUUGAGGAUUUUGACUAUGUUAAAUAUGGUGCCACAGUGUGCAAAGCUGUGCUUUAUGCUCCACCUAAAAACUCACCUUUCAACAUACUUACAAAGCUAAACCAAGGAACCCCAUUGAAGUUGAAAUCCAAAGACAAGUAUGAGGUUGUGCUUCAGGCUAAGCCAUUUGCUUAUGCUUCAAAGAAACAUUUUAAAGAAUGUGAGAAGCCCAAGCCUUCACCAACUCCAUACUACUACAAGUCACCUCCUCCUCCGGUGCCAGUUUACAAGUACAACUCACCACCUCCACCGGUCCAUUAUUAUUCUCCUCCGUAUUACUACAAAUCACCACCUCCUCCUGUAAAAACACCGCCACAUCCUUACUAUUACAAGUCUCCACCACCACCAUCACCAUCUCCUCCUCCUCCAUAUUAUUACAAAUCUCCCCCACCUCCUUCACCAUCACCUCCUCCACCUUAUUAUUAUAAAUCUCCUCCUCCACCCAAAGUGAUAUCAAACCCUCCAUACUACUAUAAGUCACCACCUCCACCAUCACCGUCACCUCCUCCACCAUACUACUAUAAGUCCCCACCUCCACCAUCACCAUCUCCACCACCCCCAUACUAUUAUAAGUCACCACCUCCACCAUCACCAUCACCUCCUCCACCAUACUACUAUAAGUCCCCACCUCCACCAUCACCAUCACCUCCUCCACCAUACUACUAUAAGUCCCCACCCCCACCAUCACCAUCCCCACCACCACCUUACUAUUAUAAGUCCCCACCUCCACCCAAAGAGAUUUCACACCCUCCAUACUACUAUAAAUCACCACCCCCACCAUCACCGUCACCUCCUCCACCAUACUACUAUAAGUCCCCACCCCCACCAUCACCAUCCCCACCACCACCUUAUUAUUAUAAGUCUCCACCUCCACCCAAAGAGAUUUCACACCCUCCAUACUAUUAUAAGUCACCACCCCCGCCAUCACCAUCCCCUCCUCCGCCAUACUACUAUAAGUCACCACCCCCACCAUCUUCAUCCCCACCCCCACCAUAUUAUUACAAAUCUCCUCCACCACCAUCACCAUCACCACCACCUCCCUACUAUUACAAAUCACCUCCACCUCCUUCACCAUCACCACCACCUCCCUACUACUACAAAUCACCUCCACCACCAUCCCCAUCGCCACCACCUCCAUACUACUACAAAAGUCCCCCUCCACCAUCCCCCUCUCCUCCUCCCCCAUAUUACUACAAAUCUCCACCACCACCAUCACCAUCUCCACCUCCUCCCUACUAUUACAAAUCACCUCCUCCACCAUCACCAUCACCGCCACCUCCUUACUAUUACAAAUCUCCCCCACCUCCAUCUCCAUCUCCACCACCACCUUAUCAUUAUCAAAGUCCUCCUCCACCAUCUCCCAUUUCUCAUCCUCCCUACUAUUACAAAUCCCCUCCACCACCGUCGCCAUCUCCUCCACCUCCUUACCACUAUGUAAGUCCUCCACCACCAGUAAAGUCUCCUCCACCACCAGUUUAUAUAUAUGCUUCACCACCACCACCUAUCUACAACUAAGUUCAAAUUACAGAUGCACCAUUGAUGAUGAAUCAUGUAAGUUUAUCAUAUUUACUUUUAUGAAUGUAUGUGUGUUUUAUAAUAUAAUACUUAUAAAAGUUCUUAUUCGUGUUUGUUUUCAGGUUCCAGUUUUCAACUACGAAUAAAGUCAAGCUCCGUUUGGAGCAAAGUGAAAUAUCUAGCUUCGUACCCAUAUUUAUUAAAUAAAAGUCAGGAUGCAUCAUCUUUGAGCUACAAUAUUUGUCAUCGAGACAAAAUUUAUUUUAUUUCUUUGAUGACCAUCUUGCACUUCCUGAUCUUACUCUUUUCAAGUGACAGGCAAAUCAAAAUGGAGAAGCGUGAUUGAUUUAUUUGUGAUCUCUUAUAUUUAUUUGUGCAUAGAUCAAUAUGUACGUAUAUGAUAGUUUUCUAUUUAUUGAGAAAUUUUUUAUUGUAAUCUGUUAUCGUGUUUGCCAAAAGGUGUUAGCAAUAAAGAAUCGCAUUCAAUUUCUGCCUACACUAUUAAGUUUGUAUUUUUCUAACCACAAUCGUUCAUGCGAAUGUGAUGUAGCUGUUUAAAAUAGCUCCAAAUGAUGCAUAAAAAGCUUUCAAUCAAAUGAGACAGGGUCACGGUUACUCUUGUACCUAUUUAGUUAUCCAUACAUUUAUAUUCAUAGGGGUUAUAUGGUAUAGCUGCACUUAAUUAAUUGUUUAUGUAUGCAAGCUUUUCCUUUCCAUCAAUAAGCAAUGGUUAGAAGCAUUCUUCUACAUAUUCCUCUCUACUCUUCUAGAAUGAAUUGUUUAUUUCAUGUAAGAUGGUAUCAAAAGAUUCAAAACACACCACCUAAUGCUGCUAUGUAUAAAUAAAGUAUGACUACAAACUUUAUGACCCCUAAUUGAAAGAGAACUUAAAGUUUCAAGGUUUCUACACACAUUUUCAAGGAAGUAGGUUCCAAAUAUAACAUUAUCAUUCUCUGUACAAAUAUGACACUUCCAAGUAUUAUUUAUUGUAAGGAAUAGAAUGUACUCGUGAAUAGGGAAGACUUUUCAACAUCAAGUGGAUGAUGUUUUGCCUAAACUCGGCUGUUAUUGUUAACAUGGUGAAGUCUGGCUUUUUUGAAAAAUGGUUUUAGCAAACAAUCUAAUUGGAGAAUAUCAGUAGUUCAUGGCUUUAGACAAACCAACUGUUGUGCAUAUUUACUAGUUUGAUAGUUAAUUAAGGUCAUUCCUCCACAACUUUUUGAUUGGAUUCUAGUUUUCCUUCUUUGAGUACUUAAAAUUGAUAGAAACGUCAACUUUUUAAAUACUUUUUACUUAUAUUUCAUUUUAGAUUUCAUUUUCGAUGGAGUAUUUAUUAACCAAUGAUAUACGCAAGAGUCUCCCUCGUUUGAUUUCUUAAUUCAAUCAAUUUUUAUAUAUAAAAAAAGGACCCGAUAAUACAUCAAUGAUUGUAUUAAGAUAACUUCAGUUUGAAAAAUUGUACAACCCUAUACUACCUAUUACCUAAAUUAAACCCGAGAAUUUUAGGACCGUAAAGGUGGGUGGAGUGGUCGUCCAGAUAACUUUAACAUAAUUAGCUCUCCAAAAAUGGAAAAGUAAUCCUUUAUUUAAGCUAUGAUAUACACGCUUAUCUGCCCAACAUUAUAGUAAGAAUCCAAAAGGACUCACCUAAUCCCUCCAAUCCCUUUCUCUUUCUAGCUUUUCCACCCAACCACUGGUUCCACAAUUAUGGAAUCAAUAUCCAAUUAUGUUUACGAGGCGUGUCUAAUAUAUAGACCUCUCAGAAAAUGGUCAAGACUGUUACUAUUUUUUAGUAAAAAAAUAAUUUUAUAAUAAUAAAAAAUAAAAAGAAAAUAUAAUAUUUCAAUAAAAUUUAAUUAAAAAUAGUGAAGUUCACCAUUAGACCUAGACUAUAUUGGACAGUCCUAUCUUUAAGACUAAUUAUUGUGUGAAAAAUCAUCUAAUCGGAUUUUGUUACAUAACUCAAUACGAGUUGAGAUCUUAUCAAUUUCUCAAAAAAUAUAGAAUAUUCAAUUAUUAUAAUUUUGUAUUUCUAUAUUGACACACAUUUUUAAAACAUGUGACAUAAAUUAAACAUUUAUUAACUUUAUAUACACCAACAAUAUAGUAAUUAAACAAAUGAAAUGGAGAGGAUAUGAGGCUCAGCUGUCCUAUUACACGGCAUUGACUACCUUAAACAAUGUGUGAGAGAGAGGAGAACACGAUGGCAUUGUCCAACUUAAGUAUUAGUAGCUUCACAUGGAGACACAAUGCACCCAUUUUAUGGUAAUUUUAACAAAUGGGGCAUAUGUUCUGUCAACAAAAACAAAAAUAUGGGGCAGAUGCAACGAAAGUUACUGCCACCUUGGCCUUAAGAAAGAGUAAAUAAAUUGAUAUGUUGGACAAAACCAAAACGUUACUACAUUUCUCUUCUAGCUAGCAAAUCCAAAUCAGACAAUGGUGCUACAUUUAAUAUGUACAUUUCCACUAACAAUGGUGAAAAAAAAGAUAAUUGUCAAAUUUUAACAUCAAAGGGAGAAUUAAUCUCACGCCAUUUAAGAAGAAAAAUAUGAAAUAGAUAGUGGGAGAACACACUUGUCCAUCUUAUGUGAAAAUUUCAGAUGAUACGAUCCAUUCCUAGAAAUUAGAAUCACAUGUAAUUUUAAUCUGGAAGAUUGACUUUUCAGAAAAAUAAAACUAGAUUUGUUCACAAUAUCAUAGAGGAAUUUACAUGAUUUCCUCCCGUUGAAUUGUAGGACUAUUUCUUAUUGGCAAAGGCUUGGUUGUCCAUUUAAAAUAUUAUAUCACAUUAUCCAACAGCACCAAACCCAAUUUUCAUAACGGUAGUUUGCACGUUUCAUUCAUUUAUUGAUUCCAUAAUUUUAUGUUACAAGUCGACAUUGAUCAGUUGCUAAAAACUAUGCAACGACCAAAAAUAACUAGUAGUAUAUAUUUUAACACCGAGAUUUAUCAGACAGGAACAUAUGUAAAGACAAAUCAAAUGAAUGCCCAGUUUAAGUCAGAAUAAUAUAACACAUAAUAUAGUGUACACAGUUAAAAAAAAAAAAUCAAAUUUCACAAGACAAUAAAUGUAAUAUAAUUUUAUGCGCAGCUAACAAUUUUUCACUAGCUUUCGCCAUUAUGAUGUUUUGACUCUGUGUGCAUAUUUCAGUUAUAAGAUUAUUCCGUUUUAUGUUACUGAAAUACUAAUUCAACCAUUUGGCAUUGACAUAUUUCCAUCAUGAGUGCAUGUUUCUUUUUGUUUUAUUUUUCCUUUCUUUCUUUUGAAUAAUUUCUUCCUUUGUUACUAAAAUAACUUGAUCUUGAUAUACAUGAGAUAAAGCCUACACCUGAUACAAGGUAAAUGCAUUGGACAAAUAAAGCAAAAAACAAAGCUAUUCAGAAAGUGUAUUGCACAAACAGAGAAACUACUAAGAAAGGUUAAACUUUUUACUUUUAUAAUAAAUAUGAAAUUUGCUAAUUAUUUUUCCUGGUUAUUGUUCUUUUUAUUUUCUCCUUCAAAAUCAGCAAUAUGCAAUUGUGCAUUUCAUCCGGGAAACAUCAUCACAUGUUCAUCUCAUAAUUGAGAAGUCACAUAAUUUGGAUUACUCUAUCACAUUCAAAAAGUACACAUACAAAACAUGAAAAGUCAACUAUACAUUUCACGAUUAAAUGAAGAACACAAAAAUUCCAACCAAAGCUUGCAAUAGCUACCAUCAUGGGCUAGAACAAAAAUAAUGCCCAUUCAUGGAUAAGUAAGGCAAAACAGACUAGAUUCACAUUCCCUUCCCUCAAAAACAAUACAAAGUAAAAUUGAAAAAGAGAACAAGAGAGAAAAUGGUAAAAGAAAAAAAGCAUUUUGACAGUUACUUUUUUGUCAAGAUAAGCAACUCAGAAGGGAAGCUAUGAGGAAACUAUAGAAGAAUAGGACACAUUACUUCAAGUUCUCUAAUCAUUCCAUUUUGUCAAGAUGCUUAUUUAUAUUUUAAUUAUGACAAAAUACAUCUUAUAGUCUUUUAAGUUACACGAAAAUAUCAAAUUGGUCAUUUAACUUUUUUUGUAUCAAUUUAUGUUUGUAAAAGUUACACUGUUGAACUAUUUUUAGUCCCAACCUCAUUUCAAUCAUUUUUAGUUAAAUAUUUUUAAAUUGUAUUAUGAGUUUUGUAUCAAUCAUAAGAGGAAUAAUAUAUUAAAUUUUAUGUGAUUGCAUGAUGUAGAUUAAGAGAUUUUAGUGUUUAAUUUCAAAAAACACUAAAAUGUAUCUCACUCAAAUUCUAUUUUGUUUAAUUAUUUUUCUAAAAGUUGAUUGAAGGUCUAUGUUCUUAUGAUUAUUGCAAUCAAAAGCCUUUAAAAAUUAUAUGAGUUUAUCGAAAAAAUUAAGAGAAUUUUGAAUUUCAAUUUUGCUGAUGUAAAAUUAAGAUUAUCGGCGUAAACAUUUACAAACAUAAAAGGCAAACUUAACACUAAUGAAAAUAAAAGACUACGUUGUUACAACAAAAAAGGACUAAAUUGUUAAAAAUAAAAAAUAAAGGACUAAUUUUUAGUUUUCUUAUAACUUUAAAGACCACGGGAGAUAGAAAUAGUGACGGGUUACGGCCAUUGGAACUAGGAAGUAUAACAAUGUAAUGCGAAAGAAGUUGCCAACUGGGAGCAUUAUUUAAAGGACUUAAAUCAAAAUGAGUCAAAUCAAUAUUUGAAUUGGUCCUUAAUGAUAGCUGCCUCUUUACGACUUACUCUCACUACACUAUAAGUAUUAAGUCUCACAAGCAGCUUUUCACAUAAUCACAAACUCCAAAACCUCUCUUCUACCCUUCCACGGGAGAUAGAAAUAGUGACGGGUUACGGCCAUUGGAACUAGGAAGUAUAACAAUGUAAUGCGAAAGAAGUUGCCAACUGGGAGCAUUAUUUAAAGGACUUAAAUCAAAAUGAGUCAAAUCAAUAUUUGAAUUGGUCCUUAAUGAUAGCUGCCUCUUUACGACUUACUCUCACUACACUAUAAGUAUUAAGUCUCACAAGCAGCUUUUCACAUAAUCACAAACUCCAAAACCUCUCUUCUACCCUUCCAGCUUUUCCACCAUAUCAAAGAAUAUUAGUGAGGAUACAAUAACAGAAGCAUUGGAGGUGACAACUUUUUCUUUCUACCCAUGACAGAUAGAACCAGUUGCCCCAGAAGGGAUUAUAUCUGGCCACCAAUGGCAACGGCAUUGGCCAUUGUGUUAAUUUCCACAACUGUGGUUUCUGUUGCUGCUGAUAGUUACAUUUACUCUUCUCCACCACCACCUCCUUACGUGUACAAGUCACCACCUCCUCCAUCACCAUCAACUCCAACACAUUACAUUUACAAGUCUCCACCACCUCCACCCUAUGAGCACAAGUCUCCAUCUUAUGAGUACAAGUCUCCCCCACCUCCUUCACCAUCACCCCCACCACCAUAUGUGUACAACUCACCACCUCCUCCAUCACCAUCACCUCCACCUCCAUACAUAUACAAGUCACCAGCUCCUCCACCUUAUGAAUACAAGUCUCCAUACUAUUACACGAGUCCUCCACCAGCCUCUCCCUCACCUCCACCUCCAGACUAUUACAAAUCACCCCCACCACCUUCACCAUCUUCUCCACCACCAUACUAUUACAAAUCUCCUCCUCCUCCAUCUCCUAUUCCCCAUACACCUUACUACAAUAAGUCUCCACCACCAUACUAUUAUAACUCUCCACCUCCACAUAUUGUGUAUCCUCAACCACACCCCUACCACCACUCAUUGAUUGUAAAGGUAGUGGGUAAAGUCUACAGCUUUAGGUGUUAUGAUUGGGAGUAUCCUGAAAAGUCUCAUGACAAGAAACACCUUAAAGGUACAUUAAUUUAUAUUUCUUAAUCCUUUCGUUUUUAACUCGUAUAAACUUAUUUAUUUAUUUUUGAAAAACUUGAGUAAAUUAUUAUUGGCAUAAAAUCCUCAAUGGCAUUACAAAUAAAUUGACAAUAUAGUUUAAUAUGUUUCUGUUUAAUAAUACUCUAUAUUAUAUGUCUUUAAAUACAUUUUUAUUUCACUUUGUCUUUAAAUCAAAUUUGUAAUGCGGCAGGAGCUAUUGUGGAGGUGAAAUGCAAAGCUGGGAGAAAAAUAAUCAAAGCUUAAGGUAAAACUAAGAUCAAUGGAAAAUACAGCAUCACGGUUAAGGACUUCGACUACGUCAAAUAUGGUCCUACAGUAUGCAAAGCCACACUUUAUGCUCCACCUAAAGGCUCUCCUUUUAACAUACCUACAAAGCUAAAUGCGGGAACCAACUUGGAGUUGAAAUCCAAAGACAAGUAUGAGGUUGUACUUAAGGCUAAGCCAUUUGCUUAUGCUUCAAAGAAAUAUUUUAAAGAAUGUGAGAAACCCAAUCCUUCACCAACUCCUUACGACUACAAGUCACCUCCUCCUCCAGUACCGGUUUACAAGUACAACUCACCACCUCCACCGGUCCAUUAUUAUUCUCCUCCAUAUUACUACAAGUCACCUCCGCCUCCAUUGAAAUCACUUCCACCUUAUUAUUACAAGUCCCCACCUCCACCAUCACACCCUCCAUACUGCUACAAGUCACCACCCCCACCAUCACCAUCACCAUCACCUCCUCCACCAUACUAUUACAAAUCCCCACCUCCACUAUCACCAUCUUCACCACCACCUUACUAUUAUAAGUCACCUCCUCCACCCAAAGUGAUUUCAAACCCUCCAUACUACUAUAAGUCACCACCCCCACCAUCACCAUCACCUCCUCCACCAUACUAUUACAAGUCCCCACCUCCACCGUCACCAUCUCCACCACCAUUUUACUAUUAUAAGUCACCCCCUCCACCCAAAGAGAUCUCAAACCCUCCAUACUACUAUAAGUCACCACCCCUACCAUCACCAUCACCUUCUCCACCAUACUAUUAUAAGUCCCCACCUCCACCGUCACCAUCUCCACCACCACCUUACUAUUAUAAGUCACCUCCUCCUCCCAAAGAGAUUUCAAACCCUCCAUACUACUAUAAGUCACCACCCCCACCAUCACCAUCACCACCACCUCUCUACUAUUACAAAUCACCUCCACCUCCACCACCAUCUCCUUCCCCUCCACCUCCAUAUUACUAUAAAAGUCCCCCUCCACCAUAUCCCUCUCCUCCUCCUCCCUAUUACUACAAAUCACCACCAUCACCAUCUUCACCCCCUCCCUACUAUUACAAAUCACCUCCACCACCAUCACCACCACCUCCUUACUAUUACAAAUCUCCCCCACCUCCAUCUCGAUCAGCGCCACCUCCUUAUCACUAUCAAAGUCCUCCUCCGCCAUCUCCCAUUUCUCAUCCUCCCUACUACUACAAAUCCCCUCCACCAACAUCGCCAUCUCCUCCACCUCCUUACCAUUAUGUGAGUCCUCCUCCACCGGUAAAGUCGCCUCCACCACCAGCUUACAUUUAUACCUCUCCACCACCUCCUAUCUACGACUAAGCUCGGAACGCCGAAGCACCAUUCGUGAUGAAUCAUGUAAGUUUGCCAGCAUUACAUUCAUAACACAUGCAUGCGCGUCCACUCGCACACCCAUAAAUCCAAUGUAAAAAUAUUAUGUACUAAUUAGCAAAAAUUCAUAUUUGUUUUCAGGUUCUAGUUUUGGUCAAGUAAUAAAGGCAAGCUCUACUUUGAGAAAAGUGAAGCGUCUAUCUUCUUGUCCGAAUUCUUUAAAUCUACUUCCGAAUAUAUCAUCUAUGAGCUACGAUAUUAGUGACCGAUAUGAGAUUUCGUUCAACUCUUUGAUGGCCAUCUUGCACUUCCUAAUCUUACAGUGUUCAAAUGACAUACAAAUCAAACAGUGGAAGCAAGAUUAAUUUAUUUGUGAUAUCUUUGAUUUAUGUGCAUAUAUUAAUAUGGCUGUGUAUGAUAGCUUUUAUUUUUGUCGAGGAUUUUUUGUAUUGUACUCUGUUGUUGUGUUUCCAAAAGAAAUGUUAGUAAUGAAUAAUCAAAUUCAAUUUAUAUCUACCUAAUUAGUUCUUGUUUCUUUUAAACAACUCCCAUUCGUGUCAGCAAGACCAAGCACAACACCAUACCACCAUAAUGCAUCAUUGCAUGAGAUAGAAAAUGAGUAAACUAAUAUAACUGUUAAGAGAAAAAGAAUAAAAACAUAAACUACUGGAGAUAAAACGUACCUCAGGGCUUUAAUAUGUGUUAAAAACCCAAUAUUUUAAUAGCUCUCUCCAAGAAUCUCCCUUUUUUUUCCAAAUGAAGUUCAAGUUCCUAAAUUAAGAAUACAAGUGACUCAAGAAAAGUUUCUACUUUUUAAAAUCUGAAGCUUGAGCUACACACAUGACAAAUGUAAGCAUCAUAGAAGUAUAAAGGAUCACAAAUAUCAAUUUCACCAUUAUUCAUGCGUAUUAUUCCAUAAUUUUUAGUUUCUUCAUAUUGUAUCCUUAUCAUAAAUUUAAUUACUAUAUCUUCUCUAUAAGAUCUGAUGACAAUAUGUUUUUCUCUCAAUGAAAACUGAAAAUGGAUUAUUGUAAUCCUAGAUUUAUUUUCUAUCUUACAAGUGCAUAAUGAAUUAUUAAACUCUAACUAUUCUUGUUGGAAACCUUGACAAAUUAAUGAAGGACCAGUCUUGACUUAAUUGUUAAACAAUUUGAAGCCAUGGUGAAAAUGUGUUGUUAGCAAAGAUUGUCAGCAUCACAUAAUAUGGCAAACAAAUGGAAAAAUCAUUAGAGAAAUGAACAAUCAAAGGAAGUUAGGUCUAUUUGAUUAAAACUAAAACCAAAAACAUUUAAAAUCGAAUUUGAAUAAAAAUUUAAAAUUAAUUGAUGAAUGGGAGAAAAAAGAUUCAUACAAAUAGAUUCAUUUCUGAAACCAUACCCUCCUUUAAUUCUCUCUUCCCUUAUACCUUCAUCUUCAUUCAACAAAACAAAAACACUAUCUCAAAAUUCAAACAUUAAAAAACCUUCAAAUAAAAUAUUUUGAAAUGAAAGCGUAAACCGAACCUGGCACAGCGUUGGAGAAGCACAGCACUGAAGAAAAUGUGGAUUUCAACGAAUGAGAUUACGAGGUGAGUUCUGCUCCGAGUCGUCAACUGAGUUAGACCACGGUCCAUUUCGGAGCACUGAGUUUGCACCGAGUCGCGCAAAAAAAUUUGUUGGGGUCUUCUGCAAUUUAACAUAAAUUGUAUAAACUUUAAUUUUAAUUCCAUUUUUACCCUUAUAUUUAAGGAUAUGUUUGGAUGGACUUGGGAGUUUUGAAAUGCAAAGAGAAAAUGACUUAUUUUUCUUUUUAAAAUUAAAAGGUUAAAUAGUAUAUUUCUAAAAAUGAAUUGAGUGUAGAUGAAAGUGUAAACUAAUUAUUUAUUUUUCUUUUUAAAAUUAAAAAGUGAAAUAGUAUAUCUCUAAAAAUUAAUUGAGUGCACAUGAAAGUGUAAAUCAAUGAUUUAUUUUUCUUUUUAAAAUUAAAAAGCUAAAUAGUAUAUUUUUAAAAAUGAAUUGAGUGUAGAUGAAAGUGUAAACUAUCAAAUGAAUUUGUCUAUUCUGAAGUGAGAAGUUACUAAAUUGAAUAAAUCAAUUGAUUAUACAUAUGCAUAUAAUAUCAACCAUUUAUUUGAUUAUCAACAGUUAAUAUUACUUAUUUUAUUCUCUAAAGUGAGUUGCUCACUUUAGAAGAGUUAAAUUUCUACCAAAUUGGUAUUUGAGAUUUGAAAGAGCUUUCAAUUUAAUCUCUGAAACUAUUAAUAUCUCAUAUCUCAAAUUCAUCUAUGUCUUUGUCAAAAAAAAUUAGUUAAAUUAUUUCGUCGAUUUUCAUUCUCUUUCUUUGUCAAAAUUUCUUAGUUAGGUUGUUUCGUCACUUUUAAGAGUGAUGGUGUGGCAUGUAAAGUGUCACCUCACCAUCCACUUGUAUUAAAAAGUAUUCAAAUGAUUAAAAAUAAAUUAUUUAUACAAAUAUUUAAAAAAAAUAUAUGAUUUUAUAUAUUUAAAAAAUUAGAUUUAGUUAUCUAUCCAAUAGACUUAGUUCAACUUCCAUCAUCUACGGUCCGAAACGAAUUUUCCGCUAACCAUUCAUUAUGAUGUUCAUUUCUUAUUAGGAUCAAUGCAUAAGAAUUAAGGUAAAUAAAUAUAAAGGAAUUAAAUUGACAUUAAAUUGUCAAAGUCCGAAAAUGUUUAUGAAUUAUUAUCAUUUUAUUUAAUUUAAAAAUGUAUUCAGUGUUAUCAACUCCCGCAUCAGUUGUGUUUGAGUUUAAUUCAGUCAUUGGUUGUAUUAUUAAUUCGGUUUCAGUUUAAACGAAAUGAUUUUUUCUUUAGGGAAAAUGAAAUGAUCGUUAAGUGGAUUGACUCUUGUAUAUGUUACUAAAUUUAUAUUUAAAUUUGUCUGCAAAGCCUUCUGAUAUUUUUGCGCUGAGUUUUUGUUGUGUUUUAGAUUGGUUUUCAAGGGAACUUGAUUGUCGCAAAUUGGGGGGUUUCUUUGUACAUUGAUGUUUUUGGAUAGAAGGGGUGUCAAAAGAAUACAACUAGUGUCUGACCGGACCAAAGACAAUCUUUGAGUUAAUAAAACAAUAAGUUUUUAAAAUAAAUAAACCGAUAAUAAAUUCAUAAAUAUUUCUUUAAAAUAUUUUUUGAUUUUGACCACUUACUCUCAAUUUAGUCAAUAAUUUAGUCCAUAGAUUUAUCCGAUUUUUACAAAUUGAUCCUUAUCACAAUGAAUAUAGUAGACAAAUUUGUUCAUAACCUAAAAUGGUGGAAGUUGAACAAAGUAAGUUAGGUAUGGAAUGAAAUAUGAUUUUUAGGACAUAAAAGUAGAUUUUUUAUUUCUAUAUAUUUUAUAUAUAAUUUCUUUAACCACUUUAUUAUUUUUUAAUACACAUAAACGUCUAGGUGACAAUUAACAUACUUACAUACCACAUCAUCACUUUUAAACAAUUUUAGAAACGAAAUUUAACAAGAAGACCUAACUGAGAAACAUUUGACAGAGUUAGAGAUGAAUUUGAGAUAUUAAUAGUCUCAUGGACUAAAUUAAGAGUGUAUUACGGUUUCAAGGAUCAAUUUGGUGAUUUACUCAUAAUUGAAAUGUUAUAAUCAUUUAACAUGUUAUUCAAAAUAUAGACUUAACAUUUCAAAGUUCUACUCUACAAAACUCAGUAUGAAACAAUGUAAACCUAUGCACUCCAAUGCAUCCUACUUGUACCCUCGACAAAGAUUAAACAAAUAAAUAGGUAGAUAAAAAGGUAUGUGGAGGUAGGAUAGACUAUUUACUUUAUUUAAGUGUUUCAAGAACUGAAAUUUCAUUCAACGCAUAUUUAUGUGUUAUAUUAAAAUAUGAUCCUAGAUAAUCACAUAUAGUGUUGUUAAAAGAAUAUUUAGAUACUUGAAAUAGACUACUAAUCUUGGUUUGUUGUAUAAGAAAACAUUUAUGUGAUAUUGAGUAUAAUAGAGAUAAAAUCGAAAGAAAAAACACUAGUGGAAGCUUCUGGUUUCUUGGAGAAAAUAUAUAAUCCCAUGGACAAUCAAAUGUUAAGGAACAAUUUCGACACAAAUAACUUACAACCGAACAAUUCACAUUGACCUAAAAAAAUCACAAUUAUUUCAGAUACAUAAAUUUCAUCACAACAACAACAUUGCAAUAAGGAGGGGAGAAUAAAUAAAACCCUUAAUUAAACCCUUAAGCUGAUCUUGAACUCUAACUGAGGAUGACUGGAUACCGAGGGUCCACGGGUGGCAUCAAGCUUCACUGCUUCUGAUUGUCAAUCCAAAAUCAUCGCUCUGUCACAUCUUCGGCGUUGUUGCAAUUCUCGCACGACUCAAAACUCUAAGAACCUAGGGCGUAAGCUCAGUCCAUAAUAAUAGUAGAGGGCCACGAUCUAAAAACAACAAUCAACUCAAGGAACCACCCCAUGACUCAUUACAGUCACCACUAACACUAUGACCCAUCACAAUCACCACUAACAUUAUGGCCCAUCACGGUCACCACUAACAUUGUGGCUCAUCACGAUCACCAUUAACCCUGUGGCCCAUCACGGUCACCCCUAACUAUGAAAUGCAUGAGCAUGCUCUCACUCUUCCAAAUCAAUCAUUAUGUAAAUGCAGUUAUUAAAAGACUCUCCUUUUAAUACUCAUUAAACGCUAAUAAUGUUUUAUAUUUUUUUUCACACAGCAUAAUCAAGACAUAUUAUCGUCAAUAAAAUUCAUAACACAUAUGUUAUCAGUUAAGAAUACAUAAUCACAUCAAAUAAAUAAACAAUUGUGUGUACCUUUAUUGACCACAAACACAAAGAACAUGUAUACAUACAUACUUUGUAUUCAAGCAUAUAUAAUAUCGUUAGAAAGUGUCCUUACUUCGACAAUGCUUUAUUACACAAGCAACUUACGAUAUGCCAGUAUAACCUAUCCGACAGUUAUCAAACUUCAUCCAGUCUCGUCCUGAAAUCUACCAGACGAACAUCAAAUACUUUUCUUAACACCCCGACUUUUAAUAGUGAGAGUGUAAAUUUUUUUUUAAAAAAAAAAAACUAAACACUUUAGGCUAAAAUAUUCAUAAUUGUAUUUAAUUUAAAUCAGAGUAAAAUAUUUAAUUAUAAAAUUCUUUUCCAAAAAUGAUGAUUAGAAUUUUUGUUGCAUUAUAUAAAAUGGUUUCGAUACAAAUAACUUACUUACAACCGAACAAUUCACAUUGACCCAAAAAAAUCACAAUUAUUUCAGAUACAUAAAUUUCAUUGCAACAAUAACAUUGCAAUAAGGACGGGAGAAUAAAUAAAACCCUUAAUUAAAACUCUAAGUUGAUCUUGAACUCUAACUGAGGAUGAUUGGAUACUAGGGGUCCACGGGUGACAUCAAGCCUCAUUGCUUCCGAUUGCCAAUCCAAAAUCAUCGCUUUGUCACGUCUUCAACGUUGUUGUAAUUCUUGCAUGACUCAAAACUCUAAGAACUUGGGGCGUAAGCCCAAUCCACAAUAAUAAUAGAGGGUCACGAUCUAAAAACAACAUAUAUACGAAAAUACAAAGCACGAAAGCAUAACAUGACAUAGCAUCAACUGAUAAACAAGUAUGCAUAUAAUUAUUAUCAUAUAACAAACAUGACUCGUGUGACAAAGCACCCUAAUGCAAUGCUUAUAUCCUAAUGCACAUGAUUAUGGAAUUUCCUCACCAUCGUCGAGGGGCGAAAAUCAUAAAUGUACCGCCUCUCACAUGCCAAUACUAAUUACUGAGGUGUCAUAUAUCACAGAUCAGCACGAUUUACUAGAGUGCAGUUUAUCACAUACCUACACAACUUCAAAAUCCUUGUAAGGAUAAGGUGGACCAAUCAACUCAAGGAACCACCCUAUGGCUCAUCACAGUCAUAACUAACACUAUGGUCUAUCACGAUCACUACUAACACUGUGGCCCAUCACGGUCACCACUAACUAUGAAAUGCAUGAGCAUAUAAUUAUUAUCAUAUAACAAACAUGACUCGUGUGACAAAGCACCUUAAUGCAAUGUUUAUAUCUUAAUGCACAUGAUUCUGGAAUUUCCUCACCAUCAUCGAGGGGCGAAAAUCAUAAAUGGACCGCCUCUCACAGGCCAAUACUAAUUACUGAGGUGUCAUAUAUCACAGAUCAUCACGAUUUACUAGAGUGCAGUUUAUCACAUACCUACACAACUCCAAAAUCCUUGUAAGGAUAAGGUGGACCAAUCAACUCAAGGAACCACCCCAUGGCUCAUCACAGUCACCACUAACACUAUGGCCUAUCACGGUCACUACUAACACUAUGUCUCAUCACGGUCACCACUAACUAUGAAAUGCAUGAGCAUGCUCUGACUCUUCCAAAUCAAUCAUUAUGUAAACGCAGUUAUUAAAAGACUCCCCUUUUAAUACUCAUUAAAUACUAAUAAUUUUUUAUAUUUUAUUUUCAUAAAGCAUACUCAAGACAUAUUCUCGUCAAUAAAAUUCAUAACACAUUUGUUAUCAGUUAAGAAUACAUAAUCACAUCAAAUACAUAAACAAUCGUGUGUACCUUUAUUCACCACAAGCACAAAGAACAUGUAUACAUACACACUCUGCAUUCAAACAUAUAUAAUAUUGUUAGAAAGUGCCCUUACCUCGACAAUACUUUAUUACACAACCAACUUACGUUAUGCCAACAUAACCUAUUCGACGAUUCCAACAACACCUCUCAAUUUCCUUGUAACUUAAAUCAACCAAUUAAUUUAAUCAAUACAAGUUUCUAAACCAACCCCAAAUGAACCCUAGGUUCGACCCCUUUCCAAAUCAAUUAGGUUUGACUUUUCUCUUAGGUUCCCUAACUUCAAGAAGACGUUGGUUUAAGUACUUUGGCAGAAGCGAUUUUUAAAACACUUAGGCUACACAUUGAAAAUCUUGAAAUUAUUUUUUCCAAACUUAUUGAAGUUCAACAUAAAUCUUUAUCUUUAACAACUUAGGACAAAAUAUUUUCUUAAUAAAAUCAAUUAAAGAUAAAUAUACUCACACUGUUCAAAAUUUUGAAUAAAUCAUCCAUCAACAUCAUAAAUUUCAACACUUUAAUAUUUGAAAAACUAGUAGAAAGUUUUUUUUAUCAAGAAAUCUUUUUUAAAAAAAAAACUCAAAUACUAAGAGUUUCAAUGCUCUAAUUAUUCCAAAUUAUGAUUCUUCCAAUUUGACAUUUUUCAAACCUUAAUCUUUAUAAACUAUGCUUUGUAUUUAAACUUUCACACUAAAAUCACAUUUUAUCAUAACGCAAAAUAUUUCUCCAGUUCAUAAUUUUCUUUUAUGUCUUCAACUAAAAUCUUCAUUUCUAAUAAAAUCACAUAUCAAAAGCCAAAAUUAUAUUCAAUCAUUAUUUUUCAAAACACCUAGAUACUUCUCCAACUUCGAAUUUUAGUAUAAAGUUGACAUCUUACUAUAAAAAUCAAAACUUGCAACUUCAAAACUUAAGAUCGAAAGUUUGUUCGUAAUGCCAAUAUUUCUCGUUCAAACCUUUUUGAUAUAUAAGACUUGAACUUUUAAGUUUUAAAUAUGAAAUUAUUCUCAAAAUCAUAAAAUUUGAAAGUUUGCUUCUCAAAGUAAAAUUUAUUUGUGAAAAUUGAAUAUUUAAUAUCAAUAAGUAAAACUUUUUAAUUCAAUCUAUAAAGGUAGAAACCUUAUUUUCACAAAAACUCAAAGGAUAAAACCUUUAACACCUUAAUAACAAAGUAAACUUAAAACCAACUUUUAAACAAAAUUUAGAACUCUCUUUAUAUAUAUAUAUAUACAUCACUCGGCUAAAAUCCAUUUUACUCAUCAAAGUUUUUCAAAAAAAUUUCCAAAUCCAAAUCUAGUUUAAAACACCAUAAAUAAUCAAGGACAACCGCUCCUAUGAUCAAAUUUCAAAUGACUCCAAAUUUUAACUUAUACCACCAUUAAAAAUCACAAGAGAACGUUUUUUCUAACUUCUUUAAAAUUCAUAAAAAUUCUACUACCCAAAUACUUUUGAAUUAAAACAAACCACAACAAUUCACUUACCACUUUAUUUCCAAAAUUUUGCCAUGACCUUUUUGUUCCUAUCUCUUUUCCUUAAAAAUUUCAAACCAACAAACAUAAAAUAUUCAGAGUUCUUUCCACCGCUAACUCGGUGUCAACAAUCUCGAUUCAAAUUCGAGAUUCAAAGAGCUAGCUACAUAAACAUAGGGAAUUAUAAAAUUUACUUCAAGGAUAAGUUACUCAAGAAAACUAAUCAAUGUCUUUUUUAUCAAUCACUCUCUUACUUUAGAAUCCUCAUUUCACAACAUUGAGUUUUUUUUUUUUAUUUAAUUUUUUAUAAACAACAUAUAUCACUUUGGUCCCAAACACCUUAACAUCUAAUUAUCAUUUUAGUUAAAAAAAAUAACUAAACACACUAGCAAAAGUCUUCUUAACUUUACUAACUUAAAUCCUCUAAUAAAUUUUUUAUUGUCAGUUUAAACUCAUUUAUUUGAAAACAAUUCAUUACGUUACUCAAACACAUACAAAAAUCAAGAUUUCACAUUAUGACACACCACAUUUGGUCUUACUAAAAAUUUUAGGGGAUUGGUUUCACUUUUUUUAUUAUUCAAGUUUUUAACUCAUCUAAUUUCAAUAUUAACAAAGCACCAAAGCAACAAAACACACUUUUCUUUUACUCUCUUAUUUAGGGUUUUUUUAUGCUUGAAAGAAAAAGAGUUGAAAAUAUAUAUUUUUUGACUUCCUAAACAAUAAUAACAACCAUAGUAGUGAUAAACAAGCAAGAUUAAAGCUCAAAAUGUAAAAAAAAAAUCACUUUUUCCCCCUAUAUAUAAAUGCUUACGGGUUUGAGAGAAAAUAUGGGAGAAAUAGCUACCUCAACUAUUGACCCUUGGCUCUUUGCAUUCGUUUCAAGUAGUGAAACAACUUUGUAGUUGAAGGUAAUCAGUGAUUGGAAGCUUCCUUGAAGUUCCAAAAUGGAAGAAAAGAGAAGAAGAAAAUUUUGAAAUAAAAAGGAAGAAGGAGUAUGUUGGUGGUUGUAAGAUGAAGUGGGGAUUGAAGUGAAACUUAUGACUUUAAGCUCUAUUUAUUAGAAACACAAUGUGAUGUGAGACACACAUUAAAUUUUAGAGAGACGUGUCAAGUUUGUGAGGACAUUUCUUACUACUUCUCUUUUAAAAUACUAUUUCUAGUAAAAGUUAAAAUUCACUUUAUGUAAAAUUACUAAUUUUCUCUAACAAAGGUGUAUCCGACGCAACUCAACUCGCAAAUAAAUCUAAUCGUAAGUUAAAACUCAUAAAAUAUUUAUCAAUAGUUAUUAUUACGAUAAAAAUAAUUUGAUUAUUAAAAUAAUUAAAUUUAAUAAUAUUCAAUGAAAAAAUAUUACUCAUAAAUAAAUUAAGUCUCAAUCACCCAAGAACUUGAAUAAGAAAUUUCAUCGAAAUCAAAUAAAUUUUAAAUUUUGAAAGCGGCAAAACUCUCUGUCGAUUUCAAACUCUGAGAAAUUUCAUUCUCAGAUUUUGAUUAUUUAUACACGUGGACUAAAUAAAAAUAUUUCACCCAUGAAAAUAUAUUUUUUGUACUUUUAUUCAUAAAUAAAAGGAACUAAUAUACUCAACAACACAUUUUAAUUACAAAACUGAACUAAAUAUACUUAAUUAAGAAUUCAUUUUCUACGGAUCUUACAUUUAUCACUUACAAAUUUUUGUGUCGUGUUUUCUAUGCAUCAUUUAUAAAUAUUUAUCAAGAUUUUUUUAUUUUUUAUUAAUGACAAAUAUCUGCCUCAUGCUAUUUUAUGUAUCAUUGGUAAAUACAUGUCUAUGUGAAUUUGAAAUUUAUCCCUAACAAAUAUUUGUCCUAUGUUUAUUUAUCUUGUGUAAUUUUAAUACUUUUUAUGUGUUUUUUUUUUUUUAUUUUUCAUUUUCUCUUUCGCCCUCUUUUUAUUCCAUUAUCAACCUACUACAUUUAUUACAUAAUAAUCUCUAUUUUUUUCUUUUUCGGGUGUAUGAGUGUACACCAAUUUAUUUAUUUAUUUAUUAAUGCAAACAAUUUAUGGUAACUAGCAAGAAAACUAUGUUUUGUACAUGUUCCGUAUUUUUUAUAUUUAUUUGUGAAAAAUAUGUGUCAUAUUUUCGUUGUGUUUGUGGAAAAUACUUGUCCCAUUGUUUUUUAAUAGUUAUCGGUACGAAAUAUUUGUCCCGUAAUUUUUUGAUGUAUCAAUAGCAAAUGUUUGUCUCAUGUUUUAUAAUAGUUAUCAGUAUAAAAUUAUUUUUUAAUGGAAAUUUUUUAUAAUCAAUCUAAACAAAAAAUGCAUAUUAUUGAUGUUCAACAAGAAUGUGAUGUCUUAGCUCUUGUCACAUGUCUAUAUCGAUCAAAACUCGAGCGAAAAUAUCCCAAUAUUUUUGAGUUGGUUGCUUCAUCAAUAUCUUUGACCUUCAAUAUUUUUUGAGGCAAAUCGUAGAUAUGUAUCUAAUAUCGAGUUUUUGUGUUUCUUACUAAAUCUAGAUUGAAAUCUUUCGUCUAAGAGAAAAAUCGAAAAAGACUAAGCUUCAAAUUUCAGGUUCCAAUUGUUAGAAACACUUUGCAUAUCAUAUAGAGAAACAAAUGAGAACUUGCCAUGAACCAAUCACUUUUCAUAUUGUUAAAAGCUUUUCACGUAAAAUCAACAACGUAAUUGAUUUAUCACCUUUAGACAUAGUGACUCUAGCAUCAAAAUUAAUCUUAUAACUCGCCAAACCUAAUCGAUAUUCAUUUUUUUUUAAUUUUACUAGUAAGUGCUGACUCUUUAAAAUAGGAUUUUAGUAAUUGACUCAAAAAGAAUAUUGUAUAAAUUUUUGAAUAUUUGUGCAAAUUAUUUGAAUAGAAACUUUUGAAUAGAAUAUUGUAUUAAUUUACUUGUGAUCUCUUUGAUUUAUGUGCAUAGAUUAAUAUGGUUGUGUAUGAUACCAUUUAUUUUUAUUGUGGAUAUUUGUAUUGUCCCCUGUUGUUGUGUUUCAAAAAGAAAUGUUAGCAAUGAAUAAUCACAUUCAAUUUAUAUCUACCUAAUUAGUCCUAGUUUCUUUUAAUCAACUAUCAUUCAUGUCAGCAAGACAAAGCACAAGACCAUACCAGCAUAAUAUGCAUCGUUGCAUAAGAGAUAGAAAAUGAGUAAACUAUAUAUGUAUAACUGUUAAGAGAAAAAGGAAAAAAUAAAAAUAAACUACUGGACACAAAAUGUACCUCAGGGCUUCAAUAUGUGUUAAAACCUAAGAUUUUAAUAGCUCACUCCAAGAAUCUCCUUUUUUUUUUUCUCAAAUGAAGUUUCUAUAAUCAUCUAUAAUCAUCUAUAAUCACUAGUGCAAUUAAACCUUGUUAGAUCCGUUCCUAUGUAUUUCUUAGAUCAGUUUCUUAUCCGAUCUAAUAUCAAGCGUUGUAAUAAAUAGUUAAUUAUUAAAUCAGCUAAAAUAAUAGAUGUAACAAGUCACAUUCAAAAAUGAUUUUUUAGAUCGGUUAAAUUUGAACCAAUAUAACAAGUCAAAUUCAAAAUUAAUCUAUUAGAUCGAUUAAAUUUAAACCAAUAUAACAAGUCAAAUUCAAAAUUGAUUUAUUACAUCGGUUAAAUUUGAACCAAUAUAAAAAGUCAUAUUCAAAAUUGUUUAUUUUAUCGAUGAGCCAAUCGAUUUAAAUAAUUAACUUUUUAAUUUUUUGUUCUUUAUAACUUUCACCCCUUACAUAUGUAUCCUCAUAAUUUCACAUAUUACAUUAUUAACUAGAAUUUCUCAUUCAACCAUAAAACACAAAACUUCAUACGAAGCUUUACAUUUAAAAAUCAAUGACAAUGAGUCAUAAUUUUUUUACAAAAUCUAAAUUAUCAAAUUUAGAGCUACAUAAUAUUCACUAGUUAAAAAAAAAAUUGUCUUUUAUUAACAGUCUAAAGAUACUAAAAUGAUACAAGUGCUUCAAACAUUUUCUAUUAGUUCAAGAAUCAAGUUUGCACAACGUUGUCGGACAUUCAUCAUUUCUUCAUCUUCGAAUGGUUUUGAUUCUCCAAAUAUCUGAAUUAUAAACAUUGAAAUAACAAAGUUAUCUAAAUCAUGUGAACAUAAAAAUCGUAAGUAGUUAAUUAAUACUAACUUUGAAAAAAUCUAUCACAUACCCGCAUCCAUGAAUCAACAAGACCACUAGAUACAAUGUUCAACAUAUGUAUCAUAAUGUAGUAACCACACUCAUAACCUUUAGGUUGUAUUUGGCACUAAAAUUGAAUAUUAUAUGUAAAUUAUAAUGAGUAAAUAUUAUAUAGAUAAAAACAUAUAAAUUAUAAUUGAAAUUCUCUGACAUAUUUUUUCUAAAUGCAGCAAAUCAAAUUAACAAUAUGAAUGCUCCAAUUACCACGGAUUCAAGUCAGUUGCAACACCUUAUGACUAUGGAGCAGGGAAAUAACAACAUCUGAACCAUUUCAACCAUGGCUAGUUUAUGAAACCACCACCAUUGAUCACUUGAACUACUUGUGUUACCUUGGGUUCAAUAUAAACACAAUUAAGGUUAUCUAAUCAAUAUAUAUCAUUCAUUUAGCUCAUAUCUAAUCAAUGUAGAAUUAGUUACUCACACUUAAAUUCCAACAACCAAUCAUUUGCAAGAACAAAUCACCAAUGACUAUUAGUUUAAAUUAAUAAUUGCUUUUACAAUGCAAGGCUUACAUAGUGUGCAUAUGGUAAUUGUCUUUUUAAUACCGUUUGAGGGUAAUGCAUGUUUUCUUUGUAACCAUUGUAGCCAUAACAAUUAAAUAAGUUUUUUGAGCAAUAGAUUGGAGUUAGAAGAAGAGUGCUCAAGGUUUGGAUGCAUAACAACAAGCACAAUCUUGCCAAAAAAUUACAUAAUUAUUCUUGUAUAUAUUGAUAAAUUUUUAUUAAAUAUGAAAGACUUAAAUUACCUUUAUAAAAUAACUCUUACACUAAAAAAUCAUGCAUGUUCAACAAAAUGAUUUUCAAACAUCUUGAUCAUUUAGUUUGUUACUACUCCUAUAUCACAACAAAGCCAUAUAGAAAGAAGAGUACUCUCUUAACGUUCGAACAUUGUUAGUUGGGGCAGCUCAAACUGCUCUUGAAGAGUGGAUGUGGACAUUGGCCAAAAUUAUUAAGAAGGAUGAGGCACUACGAGAGCUAUUCUUAGCAUAAACUGGUACUGGUGCUCAUAAGUUUGCCCAAGGACUCAAUAGCAAAUUAUUAUUUAUAUUAUUUCUUUUCUUCCUACCAAAGAUGCUGUAAGAAGUUCCAUAUUAUCAGCAAAGUGGAGGUACUUGUGGACUCAUUGAUCUGUCUUUGAUUUUCUAAUUCCUCGAGCUAAGUACGGCAAAAAUCAGAAUUCAGCAAAUUGCCUCUUAGAUCUUGUGGGGAGAUUAUUGGACAAAUCUAAUUGUAUUGAAAGGCUCUGCGUUAAAAUAUUUGGAAUUUCUGUUAAUGCAAACCAAGUUAGUUCUUUAAUAUCUUCUGUUGCAAAGAACAAAGUUCAACAUCUUCAUUUCAACCUAGGUGAUGUAACUACUACUACUAACUGUGUACUACCCCUUAGUUUCCUAGCUUUUGAGUCUUUGAAUACACUCUAUUUAGGACUCAGACUCACUCUUCAUAUUCCUAGUGUUAUUUGUUUUCCUAGCUUUUGAGUAUUUGAUAUGCCACUACCAUUGGUGGCGUGUCAAAUAUGUGUCUUCAUAUAUGGAGUGUAUACUUAUCAUUAUUAUUAAUAAAUAUUUUAUAUUGCGCAAAUCUUAUUAUUGCACCUUGCCCCAAGAAGACAACUAACCUUUGAAAGAUUAAUUUGACGCAGGGCAAAAACAGCAAGGGCCUUGAAAAGUAUACCAGGACCCUCUUCUAAAGAAAAAACUAUACUUGUCUGAGAAUUCAAUAGCACAAUCAACAACAAUAUUAAAUGUUGAUGUCAGUAAGUAUAAAACCAAGCAACUGGAGAGACAUGAUGCAUUCCGCGAGUCCAGUAAUUUCAGCUAUUUAUGCUAUUUGAAGGUACCUUAAAUGGCUUGUCUGUGCCUGGAAGUAUUGGUUCUCGCGCCAACACUAAAAAUCGGGUGACAUUAUCAUUAUCAUCCUGCCAAUACAAAUCCAUUGGUCACCAAAUCCAUGAUAAACACAAAUUGUCUACCAUGUAAUUUAAAACACCCUGACACAUAGACCCAAACCUGAAUGUCUCGAGCAAGUACAUUUAAGCCAUAGAUCUCUGCAGCAGCAGAGCUAGCAACAGCUCCUGCAUCUUGUAGUUCAUGGAGGGCAACAUGCUAUAAUUUGUAACUAUGUUAGGAUAACUGAUAUUGAAAAACAAGUCAAUAAUAACAGUAGAGACUAGAGAGUCAAAAUCUAUAAUACCCUUCAAGACAUAUGCAUGUGUAGUGAGAGGAGGAGGGGGUAUGACUCUUGAGAAGAGUAAGAAAAAAAAGGUAUUUUUGUCUUUCUGGUGUUGUUAGAAUAAGUUGUCUGUUGGUUAAGUAACAAAAUUUUAGAGUAUUGUCCUAGACGCCACCUUUAGUUUAUGGCAAUGGUCAAUGUAUCAAAAUGGAAACCAUUUAUUAAAAUGCACAAUUUUUAAUCUAUCAUUGCAUCAAAUGUUGGGCUUUCAGUAAAUAUUUUUCAUUACUUGAUUACUUUAACCAGUGCCCUAUAUAUGGACACUUGUCAACCAAAACCUUCAAAAAUUAAACACGGAGCAAAACAAAAACCGUGAGCUAUCUAGUGCAUCAUUUUUUAAGCAAGUCAAGCAUACACAAUCGUGAUCAUUAAUUAAUCAACAGAAACACUUGAAAUGAUAUAAGAAAAACAGCUCCCAACAAUUCUCCACUUACUUUUGCAGUACCCGUUGUAUCAUCUACUGCUUCUCUAACCAAGCCCAACCCUGCCAGGGUGUUCUCACAUUGUGCAAGAGUCUAAAACAUCACCACUUUGGAUUAGUUUAUAGUUAGAAAAAAAAAGUAAGGUAUAAAAUGUUAGAGUCACACCUGUGGAUGACUAAGAACACGCUUCAAAUUAUCAAGUUUAACACCAUGGUUAGCCAUCAAACAAUGAUGGACUGCAUAUUUUACUUCUCCUACUAUAUGUAACCUGUGCCUGAGUAAAAGGUCAUAAUUUCUGUGGAUGCUCCCUCCCAAAGAAUUCUCAAUUGGCAAAACUGCUCUACAAGCCACCUUUCAACAACCUAUCAUGGGAAUCCGAGAUCACGAAAAAUAAAGAGACUACAGACAGUUAUAACUAACCAUCUUGACAAUCAGAAAGUAAGAACUAACUGGAAUAUGUUAUUUUGAGAUUUUAUUAGUUAUAACUUGUAAUGCAAAACUACCAGAGUUAUAUGAGCAAAUACGACAACAUUGCACAAAUUAAUCAAGGUUAACAUAGGUUUUGCAACUUAUAUUCACCAAACACUAAAACUAACAUCAAAAUAAAAUGAAAAUCCAUAAAGAAAACCACUACGCAGAAGUGCAAACAAGUUCAAGUUCAAUCGCCCACCUAAGUACAACCUAUGAAGCAUGGGUACUUUCUAAAAUGGUGAAGUACCCGUAUCGGUACUCGUACUGUACUGUGGGUACUUUGUUUUUGUUAUUAUUUUAUUGCGAGUAAAAUUAAUAAUUUUUUUAUACAUUUAUAUAAUAUUAUUUGUGUAUCUAAGUUAAUUUGUUGGUAUAACCGACACAAUUUGUGUUUUUUUAAACUUUUAUUGUGAUUUUGUAUUGUGAAUUGAAUAAUUCUGAUCUCUUAGUUAAAUUAUACAAAAAAAUCAUGUUUUCCAUUAACGUACCCCCGUACCUUCCUUUUUUUUUAAAUACUGUAUCCCAUACCAGUACACAGUACCGUACUUAUGUAUCAUAACAUUAAAGGAACUUGAUAAAGAAACAUAGACAUAGUAACAUAUUACUAGCAAAGAGGAAAAGGGUAACAUAAUGUUUACUUCAAAAGCAGUGUCAAAUUGUUCACAAGGCACAGCUUCACAAUUUGGAUAGGCCUUUUGUGCCGCAGAUUCACUGUAAGCACCACGAACCCCCUGAAAAAUAGGAUGAUUGAAAAUUAGGAUUAAUAAUAAGAAUAAUUAACAAUGAAAUAAUUUUAGAUUGUUGAGUAACAAACAAAAAUUAUUAGAAAAUUACUGGAGAAAGCCACAAACACUUCUCGAUAGUGAAAUAAAUUGACUGAAAGCUGCGCCAGACCAACUCGCCGGUGAUGAAGGCUAAAAGUUGCUAUUCAUGAUUCACGUUUUCACUGAAGGAUGAAGGUUAAAUGUGGAAGGAUGAAAACGUUUUCACUGAAGGAUGAAGGUUAAAUGUGGUUGGGUUUGAUGAAAAACGAAUGUUGAAGGAUGAAAAAUGGGUUUGGAUUCGCGGGUUUGGAUUCGUGGGUUUGUGGAUUUGCAGAAGGAUGAAGAAGAACGGAUGAUGAAGAUGAAAAAAUGAAAGGGUUGGUACGUGUGAUUUCUUAUUCUUUAGUUAACUUAGGGAAUUUUUUUUAAAGUCUUGUUAGAUCGGUCUAACAAAACAGAUCUAACAAAAUUUGUAAUAAUAACAAAUUUGCCACUGCCUUUUUUUUUGUGUGUAGUCUUUUUUUUAAUGUAUAUGUUAGAACAGUUCAAUUAGAACAGAUCUAACAAAAUUUACUAUAAUAAUAAAUUUACCAGUUUUUUAUUUUUAUUUUUAAUAUGUAUGUUAGAUCAGUUCAAUUAGAACUGAUCUAAUAAAAUUUAUUAUAAUAAUAAAUUUACCACAAUUUUUUUUUUUAGUUUUAUUUUUUUUUAAUGUGUUUGUUAGAACAGAUUAGAACAGAUCUAACAAAGUUUACCAUAAUAACAAAUUUGCCACCAUCUUGCUUAUUACAUUGGAUGUAUAACAACCGAUCUAAUAUCAACGAUGUAACAAAGUUAAAAUGCACUAGUGAAUCAAUUAUAUAUGAGAGUUGCAGCCGAAGAAUACAAGUGACUAAAAUAAGGUUUUUAUUUUUUAAAUGUGAAGCUUGAGCUACAUGUAAGCAUCAUAGGUAUAAGGGACCAUAAGUAUUAAUUUUGCCAUAAUUCAUGUGUAUUAUUCCAUAAGUUUUAGUUUAAUUGAAAAUAGUAUACUAACUUUUUCCUAUUGUAUCAUAGAUUUAAUUACUAUAUCUUGAUUAUCUUCUCUAUAAGAUCUGAUGACAAACUGUUGUUUUUUCAAUGAAAACUGAAAAUGAAGUAUCAGGAUCCGGUCCCAGAAUUAUUUUCUAUGAUAGAAUAGCAUAAUGACUUAUUUAACUCUAACUAUUCUUGUGGGAAACAUUUACAUACUAAUGGAGGACAAGUCUUGACUUUAUUGUCAUACAAUUUGAAGGCAUGGUGAAAAUGUGUUGUUAGCAAAGAUUGUCAACAUCACAUAAUAUUGGAAACAUAAGAUGCAAAUUGUGAAAAAAUGAUGAAUGAAAGUGCACUCACAAGAGCUCAUUGGAGAAAUAGAAAAGAUAUGAUCCAAUUGUAAAUUACCUAAUGAUUAUGCAAAUGGAAAAAUAAUUAGAGAUUACAAGUGAAAAUUGAACAAUCAAAGGAAGUUACGUAUAUUUGAUUAAACAAAAACUAAGAACAUUUACAAUCAAAUUUGAACAAAAAUAAAAAAAUUAAUUGAUGAAUGGGAGAAGAAAAAAGAUUCAUACAAAUAGUGUUCAACCUCCAAUCAGAUUCGUCUCUGAAACCAUUUCGUCCUUUAAUUCUUUCUUCUUGUUGGGAAAAACCAGAGAUAAUUAGCGAUAACUAUCUCAAUAAUGCGGACUAUUUUUCCCCCACCUGUACAGAUAAAUUGCCAAACAGAAAAUACAAUUCCAGAGCAAAAAUAAUUGGCAGAAAAUUAAAUAUAAGACAAACAUAAUUUUUAAUGUAGAAAACUUCCCUCAAAUUAAGAGAACAAAAACCACGGGACCUAGUCCAGUAAAACUUUCACUAUAACAGUUAAUGGGUACACCAGAGUCUUCCUAAUAACAAUAGGGAACAUCAAUCAACAAUAACAACCUUAUAACAACCUUCCACUAAAGUGGGUAUGCCAAAGUUACAGAAGAUAAAACUACUCUGUAUAUUAAAAUAACAAACUCAGUGGCAGAAAUAACAUACUAAAUUUGUAGAUCAAACGGAGCAAGUUUGCUACACACCUGUUACCACCACCGGAACCAAACCCUUAUUUUUCUUCUCUAGCAGUCGUUCUCUUUCGUUCUACUAAUCUUUAGGAUUUCUAAAUCCCUUUUAUUUCCUUCAUGUGGGCCUAGCCCAAUAAUACCAAUUUUUUUUCGUUCUUUCUUUUUUCAAUAAUAAUAAUACUAAUACUAAUAAAACUAGUAGGUUUCACUUGGAGAGUGAACCCACCCAAGAAAUCUCCCCCUCACGACUCAAGUGGGAAGGUACUGCUCAACCAUUCUUUCUACAGCAUAUCAUCUUCAACACAUGCAAGGUCUUCGUCAUCAUAUCUGAACCAUUCUCAUCAGUAUGAAUCUUCUCAAUUAAAAAUGACUUCAUUUCCAGUGCAUCUCGUAUCCAAUGAUACCGCACUUCAAUAUGAUUCGACUUUGCAUGAAAAUUCGAAUUCUUGCUGAGAUGGAUCGCACUCUGACUGUCACAAAAUAACACAAACUUGUCUUGCUUGAGGCCUAACUCAUGUAGGAAUUUCUUCAUCCACAAGAGUUCUUUGGAAGCUUCAGUUGCUGCAAUGUACUCAGCUUCAGUAGUGGACAAAGCAACACACUUUUGUAGUCUUGAUUGCCAAGACACAGCUCCCCCUGCAAAAGUCAUCAUAUAACCAGAAGUAGAUUUUCUAGAAUCAAGAUCACCUGUCAUAUCUGCAUAUGUAUAGCCAUCCAACACAGGUUCAUCCCCUCCAUAGCAUAAACACACUUUGGAAGUGCCUCUGAGGUAUCUAAGAAUCCACUUCAUCGCUUGCCAAUUAUCUUUACCAGGAUUAGAGAGAAAUCGACUAACAACUUCAACUGCAUGAGCAAUAUCUGGCCUUGUGCAUACCAUAGCAUACAUCAAACUACCAACUAGCAAGUGGAGUACUAACAGGUUUGCAAUUGCUCAUGUUAAACCUCUCUAACACCUUCUCAAUAUAAUUGUGUUGAGACAACCACAAUUUAUUAUUCUUCCUGUCACGAGUAAUUCUCAUACCCAGAAUUUGCUUUGCAGGACCUAAGUAUUUCAUUGCAAAAGACUUGUUCAAAUCUUUCUUUAAAGAUUGAAUCUUCUUAGUGUCAUAACCAACAAUCAACAUGUCAUCCACAUAUAAUAAGAGAAUAAUAUAAUCACCAUCGGAGAAUUUCUUGAUAAACACACAAUGGUUAGAAGUAGUUUUACUAUACCCAUAUUUCUCCAUGAAAGAAUCAAAUUUCUUGUACCCUUGUCGAUGGGCUUGUUUGAGCCUAUACAAACUUUUCUUCAAUUUACAUACAAGUUGCUCUUUACCUUUGACUUCGAAACCUUCUGGUUGCUCCAUAUAGAUCUCUUCCUCCAAAUCACCAUGAAGGAAUGCAGUUUUCACAUCAAGUUGUUCAACUUCUAGGUUCAAACUAGCUGCUAACCCAAACACAACUCGAAUAGAGGACAUCUUCACCACAGGUGAAAAAAUUUCACCAAAGUCAAUACCUUUUCUCUGAUUAAAACCUUUCACAAUCAAUCUUGCUUUGUAUCUUGGUUGAGAACUAUUCUCUUCUGCCUUUAUCUUGUAUACCCAUUUAUUCUUAAGUGCUUUUCUACCAUUAGGCAACUUUACCACAUCAAAUGUGUGAUUCUCAUGCAAGGAAUUCAUCUAUUCUUGCAUGGCCUUUAACCACUUUUCUUUAUCAACAUUUGUAAUAGCUUCUUGAUAGUACUAUGACUCUCCACUAUCAGUGAUCAUCACAUACUCAUGUGGAGGAUAUCUUUGAGAAGGUUGACGUUCUCUAGUAGAUCUUCUCAAGUCAAACUCGAUUGGUGGCUCAAUUGGAACUUGCUCAUCAUGGUGAGGUGCACGAUCAUCAGUUACAUUCUCAUCAUCUAUCUGUAUAUCUCCCCCAUCAACAAAGGUUUCUGCAGGGGGUUUAGGCGCAACAUCAAUGUAACUUCUGGAAUUUGGUUUCUGUUUUUAGCUUUAUCAAAAUCUUCAAUAGUCUGGUCUUCAAGAAAUUUCACAUCUCGGCUUCUGAUAAUUUUCUUGUCAACCGGAUCCCACAAUCUAUAAUCAAAUUCUUCAUCACCAUAACCGACGAAUAUACACUGUUUGGAUUUACUAUCAAGCUUGGACCUCUCAUCUCUUGGAACGUGAACAAAACAUCUGCAACCAAAAACUCUCAAAUGACGGUAAAAGACAUCUUUCCCUGUCCACACUCUAUUUGGAACAUCACCAUCAAGUGGAAUAGAAGGAGAAAGAUUGAUCAAAUCCACUGCAGUUUUCAUUGCUUCACCCCAAAAAGAUUUCGAUAAUUUUGCAUGAGAGAGCAUACAUCUGAUUCUGUCAUUAAUCGUACGAUUCAUUCUCUCUGCAAUACCAUUAUGUUGAGGUGUCUUUGGAAAUGUUUUCUCAAACCUGAUUCCAUGUUCUCUAGAAUACUCUUCAAAUGGACAUAUGUAUUCGCCACCGUUAUCUGAUCGAACACAUUUCAAUUUCCUUCCAUUUUCUCUUUCAACACUUGCAUGAAAAUGCUUGAAGACUCCAAAUAUUUGAUCUUUAGAUUUCAAAGGGAAUGCCUACACUUUUCUAGAGUGGUCGUCAAUAAAAGUAACAAAAUAUGAUGCACCACUAAGAGAUUUACUAUCCAUCAUACAAACAUCAAGAUGAACUAAAUCAAGAAUAUUUUGCCUCCUAUGAGGACCAGUAUUAUGAAAAGAAACUAUAUGUUGUUUUCCAGCAAAACAAUGAGUGUAAGUUUUUAGAGACGUACCUUUCACAGGAAGAAAGUUUUUCUUCGCAAGUAUGUUGAGUCCUUUCUCACUCAAGUGACCGAGGCGCAUAUGCCAUAAAUCAGAAGUUGCAUCUUCUAUUGCAUUCACUUCUUCCUUGCAUAACUUCGUAGACAUCCUAUAGAGAGAAGUGAAACUUUGUUCCUUUGCAACCACUAGGGACCCUUUGGUGAUUUUACAUAUACCACCACCACCAAAGUAAGUGUGAUAACCCUCAAUAUCCAAGGCUUUGACCGAAAUCAAAUUGAGACAAAUAUUAGGUAUAUGUCUAAUAUUCUUCAAUUGAAGCUUGCAACCAAUCUCAGUUUCAACCCAAACAUCUCCCAUACCGAUAAUUUUACAUACUCCUUCAUCUUCCAUUUUUACCAUGCCAAAAUCACCAGCACUGUAAGAUGAGAAGAAAUCACGCCUAGGAGUAACAUGAUAUGAGGCACCCGAAUCAAUAAUCCAAGUUGAAUCAUGACAUGCAAGGUUUAUGAAAUUAUUAUCACAAACAAUGUAGACAUUAUUAAUAGAUGCAACUGCUGUUGUAUCUUUGUCAUUUUUCUUCUUUUUGUCUUCAUCUAUUUUCCUUGAUUGAUUUCUCUUAAGGAAUCUGCAAUUUCUUUUUAUGUGACCCGCUUUGCCACAAUGGUACAUAUCACUUCCUUUCUAGUCCUCGACUUGCUUCUUGACUUGCUACGACUUUCAGAGUUGUCGCGUCUAUGGAAGUUUCUAGAUUGACUUCUCCCCCGUGACUCUGUAACUAGUGCUUCUGACUUUGAGGAAGAACCAAUCAAACCACGUUCCUUUCUUUGAGCUUCUUCAUUCAACAUGCUCUCUUUAACUGUUGACAUUUUCAACUUUCUACUUGGAGCUGAAUUGGUCAACGUCACAACAAGGACUUCCUAAUUAUUAGGCAAGGAACUCAACAAUAACAACGUUUGCAACUCAUCAUCUAAUUUAAUUUAUGCAGUUGUCAACUGAUUCACUAUAUUCUGAAAAAUACUCAUAUGCUCUGCCAUUGAAUCCCCAUAUUUGUUUUUCAUAUUCACCAGCUUCCGAAUCAAGAAUGCUUUAUUUUGCACAAUCUUUCGUUCAUACAACUCUUUAAAUUUUUCCCACAUCUUGUUAGCAUCUAUUUCAGUUUCAACAUGUGGAUACACACUAAGAUCCAACCACUGCCUGAUCAACGCCACUGCCUGAUCAACGCCAUUGCCUUUGUAUUCAUCUUCUUCCAGUCAGCGUCAGAUUUAUCUGUGGGUUUAGCAGUGUCACCCUCAAUAGGAUCAUACAAAUAUUUAUUGUAUAACAUGUCUUCCAUGAGAGUCUUCCAAAGUGUAUAAUUAGAAGAGUUGAAUUUAAUCAUAUUGGGACAUUUAUUUUCCUCCUCCAUUUAAAUGCACAAAUCAAAUAAUCGAGCUCUAGAUACCACUUUAUUGGGAAAAACCAGAGAUAAUUAGCGAUAAUUAUAUCAAUAAUGCGGAAUAUUUUCCCCCCACCUGUGCAGAUAAAUGACCAAACAGAAAAUAGAAUUUCAGAGCAAAAAUAAUUGGCAGAAAAUUAAAUAUGAGACAAACGCAAUUUUUAACGUGGAAAACUUCCCUCAAAUUGAGAGAAUAAAAACCACGGGACCUAGUCCAGUAAAACUUCUAAUAUAUAAUAGUUAAUGGGUGCACCAGAGUCUUCCUAAUAACAAUAGGGAACAUCAAUCAACAAUAACAACUUUCCACUAAAGUGGGUAUGCCAAAGUUACAGAGAAGAUAAAACUACUCACUGUAUAUUAAAAUAACAAAAUUUGUAGAUCAAACGAAGCAAGUUUGCUACACACCUGUUACCACCACCAAAAUCAAACCCUUAUUUUUCUUCUUUGGCAGUCGUUCUCUUUCGUUCUACUAAUCCUUAGGAUUUCUAAAUCUCUUUUAUUUCCUUCACGUGGGCCUAGCCCAAUAAUCCCUUUUUUUUUCUUUUUUUUUUAUUUCAAUAAUAAUAAUAAUAAUACAAAUACUAAUAAAACUAGUGGGUUCUACUUGGGGAGUGAACUCACCCAAAACUUCCCUUAUAUCUUCAUCUUCAUUCAACAAAACAAAAACAAUAUCUCAAAAUUCAAACAUUUAAAAACCUUGAAAUGAAAUUUGUUCGAAUGAAAGCGCAAAUCAAACCUGGCACCGCGUUGGAGAAGCACAUCAACUGGGUUAGAGCUGGCUACAUUUUGGAGCACUGAGUUUGCUAUAAUACAAAGCUUUUGUUGGGGUCUUCUGCAAUUCCAUAAAUUAUAUACACUAUAUAUUUUAAUUGCAUUUCACCCUCAAAUUUAAGGGUAUGUUUGUAUGGACUUUAAUUAGUUUUGAAAUAUAAGAGAGAAGAGAGUUUAUUUUUCUUUUUUAAAUUAAAGUUAUAAAGUGUUUUUAAAAAUCAAUUGAGUGUGGUUAAAAUGUUAUAUAAUCAUUUUACCGACUAAUUAAAGCCAAUUUUCCCUAACUUUUGAUUGAAUUUUAGUUGAUUUUAAUUUCCCUUCUUUAAGUACUUUAUGAUUUACUCCUAUCUUCCCAACAUUAUGAUAAUCCGAAAGGAUUAACCUAAUCCAUCAAUCCUUCUCCUUAUCUAGCCUUUUCACCAACCUCUGUGGUUACCACAUUUCAUUGUGAAAUCAAUAUCUAACUUCUUUUUAAAACUAUUUGUCUUUUGUCAUAAAAAUUAUAUUUGAUAAUUCUUUAACACAGAAUAAAUCAUCUCCAUUCAAUUACAACGAGGAGAGCGAAGGGAUUUAAUUGGACCUUACAUGGCAUUGACUACCGUAAACAAUUUGAGACAGGGCAACACGAUGGCAUUGACCAAUUUAAGUAUUAUUAGUAGCAUCACAUGGGGUCACAAUUAAUGCACACUUUUUAUGAUAUAUUAUAACAAAUUAGGUUAAACAACAAAGAAGAGGGACAUGCAACGAAAGUCGCUGCCAGCUUUGACACAAAAAAGAAUAAAUAAAUGAGAAAUGGUAUUUUGACUCACAAUUUUGACAUUAAAUAAUUAUAUUUAGUAAAUGGAUCUUUUAGGACAUAUUUAGUAAAUGGUUAAUUAAUAUAAUGGUGUUCCAAUUCAAAAAAUAUAUAUAUAAGGGUAUCCCAACUCGCUAACCACGUAAUUAACACAAUUAAUUAAGAUUUUGAAUGUUAUUAAUCAUAAUUAUUAAAAGUACAUUUAAGCACAAAAUAUGAUCAAUGAAUAUAUCUUGUGGUUAACUAGUAACAGUCAGAAUCAUGAAUAAUUGUGUUUAAUGAUUUGUUAAUGAAAUAUGGUAUUUUGUUAUAUUUAUUAACCAUCACAAAAUAUAAUUACCCACAUCCGUAAAUUAGUUAACCAUAUAAUUUGUUGUGGAAAUUUGAUUGUAAAUAAACAGACAUGUAGGGCAAAACCAAAAAAGUGGCUACAAUUUCUCUUCAAACUAGCACAUAAAAUCAGACAAUGGUGCUACAUUUAAUAGUAUGUACUUUUCCACAAACAAUGUUGAAAAGAAACAGAUAAUAUACUGAAAAAUGAUCCUCUCAUGUCAAAUUUUAACAUCAAAAUUAGAAGUGAUCUCACAUCAUUUAAGAAGAGAGAUAGAGAUAGAUAGUUCUACAAUUCAACUGAGGGAAAUCAUUCAUGUUUCUUCCUCUAUGAUGUUCUGAACAAAUAGAGGACAAUUUUUUAUUUGCAAAAGGCUUAGUUGUCCAUUUAUAAAUGUUAUAUUAUCCAACAGCACAAAACUCAAUUUCUUAACGGUAGUUUUCACGUUCCAUUCAUUUAUUGAUUACAUAAUUUUAUGUUACAAGCCAAUGAUAAAAAAUAACUAGUAGCAUAUAUUUUAACACCUAGAAAUUUACCAGGAAGAACAUUGUAGAGACACAUCAAAUGAAUGUCCAUAUUAAGUCAGAAUAAUAUAACACAUUAAUAAUCUGUACACGCCUUCACAUGCAAUUUGUGUAAGCUCCUCCUAGUUUUGUUUUUAAAUGGCAAAUAAUAGUUGUUAGGAAAAGGAGUUGAAUCUAUAAUGUGUUAUAUAAUUUUAUGCACACUAUAAUUAGAAAUUUUCAAAGAGCAUUAGAACCAUUCUCUUUCCAAUACUUACAUUUUUUUUUUGUAGCUGAAAUUUAUGUGGUUCUCACUACUUUAUGUGAGCCCAAUUCCAAAAUAAUGAAACAUAAAUGAAUUUCAUGUAAUAAGUUAGUAUUAUGAAUCUUGCAAAUACUAUAGUGUCUUUUUUUUACAAACUCAUGUUUUUCACUAGCUUUUGCCAUUAUGAUGUUUUGAUUCAUGUCCAAUUACAAUUUUAGAACUAUUCCUUUCUAUGUUAUUUAAACAAUUCAAUCAUUUGAUAUUGACAUACUUUCAUCAUGCGUGCAAGUGCCUUUUUUUGAAUAAUUUCUUACUCUGUUACUAAAAUAACUGCAUCUUGAUGCAUUGGACAAAUAAAGUGACAACAAAAAUAUUCAGAAAGUGUUUCGCCCAAACAGAGAAAUAUUGAGAAAGGACUUAAAAUUAAAGACACAACUAAAAGUCAAGAUACAAAUAAAACCCCACUGAAUAUUUCAUGUACAAAAUUAAAAUAUUCUGAAAUUUGCUAAUUAUUUUUCCUGGUUAUUGUUUCUAUUAUUUUCUCCUUCAAAAUCGCCAAUGUGUAAUUGUGCAUUUCAUCCAAGAAAUGGCAACAUCACAUGUUCAUCUCAUAAUUGAGAAGUCUCAUAAUUUAAAUUAUUCUUUAUCAGUUAUCACUAAGUAUCAAAUAUGUGUAAAAAGUACACAAACAAAUAAUGAAAAGUCAAAUGUAUAUAUUUCACGAUUAAAUGAAGAACUUGUAAAAAAAAAAAAUCAAAUGAAGAAAGAAAAAAUUCCAUCCAAAGCUUGCGAUAGCCACCAUCACGAGCUAGAACAAAAAUCAUGACCACUCAUGGAUCAUUAAUACAAAAUAGACUAGAUUCACUUUCUCUUCCCUCAAAAACAAUAGAAAAUAGGUAUAAAAAAAAAAAGAAAGAAAGAAAGAGAGAAUGGUAAAAAAAACAGCAUUUUGUAGUUACUUUUUUGUCAACAUAGGCAACUCAGCAGGGCUGCUAGGAAUAAUUACCCAAGAGUAGGACACAUUGCCUUUAAAUUCUCUAAUCAUUCCAUUUUGUCAAAAUGCUGAAUUACAUUUUAGUUAAUACUCUGUUCAAUUUAUCAAACUACUCAUCUUAAUUAUAAAUUAUAAGUAUGUUUUCUAUUAUUAUUAAUACAAUUACAAUAUUAAUAUUUUGGUCGUUGUGACAAUAAUAAUUGAAGGAUAAUAAAGAAAAAAAAUGAAAUUUGUAUUGAAAAUUGAAAAUAAUAUUCAUUUUUAGACAAAUUAUUUUUAUUAAAGUGACGUUAAUUGUGGGAUAGAGAGAGUAAUUGAAGAUAGAAAUAGUGACGGGUUAUAGCCAUUUGGACUUAAUCAAUGGAAGGGAAAGAAAUGGCCAACUGGAAAGCUUUUAAAGCAUUUAAAUCAAAAUGAAACCAAUUGAAUAUUUAAAUUGGAUCUUAAUGAAAACUACCCCUUAACGAAAGACACUCACUAUAAAUACUAAAUCUUCCAUGCAGCUUUUCACAUAAUCACUAACACCAAAACCUCAUAUUAUUUCCUUCUUUCUUCUGCUCCACUUCAAAGAAUAUUAGUGAGGAUCUAAUAGCAAAAGCAUUAGAGGUGGCAAGUUUUUUCUUUCUACCCAUGACUGAUAGGGCCAGUUACCCCAAAAGGGGUUAUAUCUGGCCACCAAUGACAAUGGCAUUGGCCAUUGUUUUGAUUUCUACUACUGUGGUUUCUGCUGCUGCAGAUAGUUACCUUUACUCUUCUCCUCCACCUCCUUAUGAGUAUAAGUCACCUCCACCUCCAUCUCCUUCACCACCACCUCCUUAUGUGUACAAGUCGCCACCUCCUCCACCACCGUCACCUCCACCACCAUAUGAGCACAAGGCUCCAUCUUAUGAGUACAAGUCACCCCCACCUCCACCACCUUACAUUUACAAGUCUCCACCACCUCCACCCUAUGACCACAAGUCACCAUCUUAUAAGUAUAAGUCUCCCCCGCCUCCUACACCAUCACCCCCACCACCCUAUGUGUACAAGUCACCACCUCCUCCAUCACCAUCACCUCCACCACCUUACAUUUACAAGUCUCCACCACCUCCACCCUAUGAGCACAAGUCACCAUCUUAUGAGUACAAGUCUCCCCCGCCUCCUACACCAUCACCCCCACCACCCUAUGUGUACAAGUCACCACCUCCUCCAUCACCAUCACCUCCACCACCUUACAUUUACAAGUCUCCACCACCUCCACCCUAUGACCACAAGUCUCCAUCUUAUGAGUACAAGUCUCCCCCGCCUCCUUCACCAUCACCCCCACCACCCUAUGUGUACAAGUCACCACCUCCUCCAUCACCAUCACCUCCACCACCUUACAUUUACAAGUCUCCACCACCUCCACCCUAUGACCACAAGUCUCCAUCUUAUGAGUACAAGUCUCCCCCUCCUCCUUCACCAUCACCCCCACCACCAUAUGUGUACAAGUCACCACCUCCUCCAUCACCAUCACCUCCACCACCUUACAUAUACAAGUCUCCACCACCUCCACCCUAUGAGCGCAAAUCUCCAUCUUAUGAGUACAAGUCUCCCCCACCACCAUACGUGUACAAGUCACCACCUCCUCCAUCACCCCCACCUCCAUACAUAUACAAGUCACCGCCUCAACCACCUUAUGAACACAAGUCUCCACCAUACUAUUACAAGAGCCCUCCACCACCCUCUCCCUCACCUCCGCCUCCUUAUUAUUACAAAUCCCCCCCACCCCCAUCACCAUCUCCACCACCACCUUACUAUUACAAAUCUCCUCCCCCGCCAUCUCCUAUUCCCCAUACACCUUACUACUACAAGUCCCCACCACCACCUAAGUAUCUUCCACCACCAUACUAUUAUAACUCUCCUCCUCCACAUGUUGUGUAUCCUCAACCACACCCCUACCACCACUCAUUGAUUGUGAAGGUAGUGGGUAAAGUUUACAGCUUUAGGUGUUAUGACUGGGAGUAUCCUGAAAAGUCUCAUGACAAGAAACACCUCAAAGGUACAUCACUUUACAUUUUUUAAUCCUUUCAUUUUUAUCUCUUUCGGGUAAACCUUUUUUGAAAAAACUGUGUAAAUUAUUAUUCGCUCCAAAUUCUCAAUACUGUUACAAUUACUGUCAUAUUUGGUAAUGAGAUUCGUGUGUGUGUGUGUAUGUUUUGAUUAAGGUCUUUGUUUUAUAGAAUUUAGCUGUUCUUCAACACAAACACUUAGAGUUUAGCUGUCUCCUUUCUCCAAUAAACCUUUCAUGCUAAUUAUUGUCUAUAAACAACAUAAUUUUCAAAAGUUGAGGAAAAAAUUGAACGCAUUAGCUUACACCACAACUAUCUAUCUAAAGCAUGUUUGUUUUUAUAUAAUUUUAAGGAAAUAAAUACUUUUCAUAAUCUUUAAAAUAAAUAAAUUAAAAUAUAUUAAAUUUAAACAAACAAAAUAUUCUUAUAUAAAUCAAGUCAAAAAUAUUCUUCUCAAAUUUAGCUAGAUCUGAAUAUUUUGUACUGUAUGUAAUUUAAUUGGCAUUCUAACUUUCUAAGUUAUCAAACAGGUUGCAGCCUGUCAUAAAUAACGAAACAUUUGAUAUGUCAAAUUAAGAUAUAAUAUAAUUUACCUGAUUGUAAUUUAAUAAGUCUGCAUAAUAUAAAUAUUCUGUUUGAUAAUGAUAGUUUAACAUGCUGCUUUUUAAUAAUACUCAUAUAAUAUGUGUCUUCUAAUACAUUUGUAUUUAAGUGUCUUAAAUCAAAUUUUUAAUGGUGCAGGAGCUAUUGUGGAGGUGAAAUGCAAAGCUGGAAGAAAAAUCAUCAAGGCUUAUGGCAAAACUAAGAUCAAUGGAAAAUACAGCAUCACAGUUAAGGACUUCGACUAUAUCAAAUAUGGUCCAACAGUAUGCAAGGCUGUGAUUUAUGCUCCACCUAAUGGAUCUCCCUUCAACAUACCUACAAAGCUAAAUGAGGGAACCAACUUAGAAUUGAAAUCCAAAGACAAGUACGAGGUUGUUCUUAAGGCUAAGCCAUUUGCUUAUGCCUCAAAGAAACAUUUUAAAGAAUGUGAAAAGCCCAAGCCUUCACCAACUCCUUACUACUACAAAUCACCUCCUCAUCCAACACCAGUUUACAAGUACAAGUCACCACCUCCACCGGUCCAUUAUUAUUCUCCACCAUAUUACUACAAGUCACCACCUCCUCCAGUUAAAUCACCACUACCUCCUUAUUAUUACAAGUCUCCACCUCCGCCAUCACCCACUCCUCAUCCAUAUUAUUAUAAAUCUCCCCCACCACCUUCACCAUCACCUCCUCCACCUUAUUAUUAUAAAUCUCCUCCUCCACCCAAAGAGAUAUCACACCCUCCAUACUACUACAAGUCACCACCCCUACCAUCACCAUCACCUCCUCCACCAUACUAUUAUAAGUCCCCACCUCCACCAUCACCAUCUCCACCACCACCUUACUAUUAUAAGUCACCUCCUCCACCCAAAGAGAUUUCACACCCUCCAUACUACUAUAAGUCACCACCCCCACCAUCCCCGUCCCCUCCUCCACCAUACUACUACAAGUCCCCACCUCCACCCAAAGAGAUUUCACACCCUCCAUACUACUAUAAGUCACCACCCCCACCAUCCCCUUCCC
rnacentral:lncRNA from 1 species